rnacentral:rRNA from 1 species
UACGGAGGGGGCAAGCGUUGUUCGGAAUUACUGGGCGUAAAGGGCGCGCAGGCGGCUGCUCAAGUCAGGCGUGAAAGGCCUGGGCUCAACCCGGGAAUUGCGCUUGAGACUGGGCUGGCUUGAGUGCGGGAGAGGAUGGUGGAAUUCCCAGUGUAGAGGUGAAAUUCGUAGAUAUUAGGAAGAACACCGGUGGCGAAGGCGGCCAUCUGGACCGCAACUGACGCUGAGGCGCGAAAGCGUGGGGAGCAAACAGG